CCUACGGGUGGCUGCAGUCGAGAAUCAUUCACAAUGGGGGAAACCCUGAUGGUGCGACGCCGCGUGGGGGAAUGAAGGUCUUCGGAUUGUAAACCCCUGUCAUGUGGGAGCAAAUUAAAAAGAUAGUACUGCAAGAGGAAGAGACGGCUAACUCUGUGCCAGCAGCCGCGGUAAUACAGAGGUCUCAAGCGGUGUUCGGAAUCAGUUGGCGUAAGGCGUGCGUAGGCAGUGUCGUAAGUCGUGUGUGAAAGGCGCGGGCUCAACCCGCGGACGGCACAUGAUACUGGGAGACUAGAGUAAUGGAGGGGGAACCGGAAUUCUCGGUGUAGCAGUGAAAUGCGUAGAUAUCGAGAGGAACACUCGUGGCGAAGGCGGGUUCCUGGACAUUAACUGACGCUGAGGCACGAAGGCCAGGGGAGCGAAAGGGAUUAGAUACCCCUGUAGUC
rnacentral:rRNA from 1 species